GGACGGAGCCCACGCUGCGCACCCGGCAGCAAGCUCGCCAUGGCGAUGGGCGGAGGCGGCGGCGGCGUCCCAGAGCCGGAGGACUCGGUGCUGUUCCGGCGCGGCACGGGCCAGAGUGAUGAUUCUGACAUUUGGGAUGAUACAGCAUUGAUAAAAGCUUAUGAUAAAGCUGUGGCUUCAUUUAAGCACGCUCUAAAGAAUGGUGACAUUUCCGAAGCUUCAGAAAAACCAAGAGGCACACCUAAAAGAAAACCUGCUAAGAAGAGUAAAAGCCAAAGAAAGAAUACCACAACUCCCUUGAAGCAGUGGAAAGUUGGUGACAGAUGUUCGGCCAUUUGGUCAGAAGACGGCUGCGUUUACCCAGCUACCAUUGCCUCGAUUGAUUUUAAGAGAGAAACCUGUGUUGUGCUUUACACUGGAUAUGGAAAUAGAGAGGAGCAAAAUCUGUCUGAUCUACUUUCUCCAACCUCUGAAGUAGCUAAUAAUAUAGAACAAAAUGCUCAGGAGAAUGAAAAUGAAAGUCAAAUUUCAACAGAUGAAAGUGAGAACUCCUCCAGGUCUCCUGUAAAUAAACCAAGUAACUUCAAAUCAAAAGCUGCUCCUUGGAACUCUUUUCUCCCUCCACCACCCCAUAUGCCAGGACCAGAUCUGGGACCAGGAAAGCCAGGUCUAAAAUUCAAUGGCCCACCGCCACCGCCACCACCACCACCACCACCACACUUACUGUCAUGCUGGCUGCCUCCAUUUCCUUCUGGACCUCCAAUAAUUCCCCCACCACCUCCCCUAUGUCCAGAUUCUCUGGAUGAUACUGAUGCUUUGGGAAGUAUGUUAAUCUCUUGGUACAUGAGUGGUUAUCAUACUGGUUACUAUAUGGGUUUCAAACAAAGUCAAAAAGAAGGAAGGUGCUCACAUUUCAAUUAAGGAAGGCAAGGUACUACAUCUCAUUCAUCAUGUCUACAGUAUCUGGCACAGUUUUUUGAAAUCUAGGAUGGGCUUAAAGCAGAGAUUGGAGGGAAUGUCAAAGAAGAGAGAAAAUGGCAGAAGAAGAAAGAUGUGAAGCAGUGUACCUAAGCAUUAGUGCAGCUCUCUCCCAAGGAGAAUAGUAUAUUGAUGUGCCCUGGUCGAUGUGAACAGAAGUUUCAUCAUUUUCUUCAUGAACACUCGGAUGGGUGCAUGUCAUAUUCCUUUCCCCUUGUUGCAUGUGACUCAUGCUUAAAUAAGCAGUUAGAUAUUUCGAGGGAAUAAUCAGUUUGAAUAAUUGAACGAUGGAAAUAUGAGUGAUUAAAAGAAACUCAAGGUCACAUACAGUGCAGAAAGUCAAUCUGUCAAAAUCUCGACUGAGCCCAUUUGUAUAUUGUAACUUUUUCCUAGUAAGUAUAUUAAGGUUUGUAUUAAUGCCUUUAAAAAUAAAUAACUUUUUUUUUUAAACCUUGA